rnacentral:rRNA from 1 species
UCGAGAAUCUUCGGCAAUGGGGGCAACCCUGACCGAGCGACGCCGCGUGCGAGAUGAAGGCCUUCGGGUUGUAAAUCGCUGUCAGUGGGGAGGAAAUGCCGGUGGGUUCUCCCAUCGGUUUGACCUAUCCGCAGAGGAAGGACAGGCUAAGUUCGUGCCAGCAGCCGCGGUAAGACGAACCGUCCAAACGUUAUUCGGAAUCACUGGGCUUAAAGGGUGCGUAGGCGGCCCGGAAAGUUGGGUGUGAAAGCCCUCGGCUCAACCGAGGAAUUGCGCCCAAAACUGCCGGGCUCGAGGAAGACAGAGGUGAGCGGAACUUAGGGUGGAGCGGUGAAAUGCGUUGAUAUCCUAAGGAACACCAGUAGCGAAAGCGGCUCACUGGGUCUUUUCUGACGCUGAUGCACGAAAGCUAGGGGAGCGAAGAG